rnacentral:rRNA from 1 species
GGAUCCAGACUUUGAUUAUGGCUCAGGACGAACGCUGGCGGCGUGCCUAACACAUGCAAGUCGAACGGAACUUUUUUAAUUGACUUCUUCGGAAUGAUUUUGAUUAAGUUUAGUGGCGGACGGGUGAGUAACGCGUGAGUAACCUGCCUCUAAGAGGGGAAUAACAUUCUGAAAAGAAUGCUAAUACCGCAUAAUAUAUAUUUAUCGCAUGGUAGAUAUAUCAAAGAUUUAUCGCUUAGAGAUGGACUCGCGUCCGAUAAGUUAGUUGGUGAGGUAAGGGCUCACCAAGACCGCGAUCGGUAGCCGGACUGAGAGGUUGAACGGCCACAUUGGGACUGAGACACGGCCCAGACUCCUACGGGAGGCAGCAGUGGGGGAUAUUGCGCAAUGGGGGAAACCCUGACGCAGCAACGCCGCGUGAAGGAUGAAGGUCUUCGGAUUGUAAACUUCUUUUAUUAAGGACGAAGAAAGUGACGGUACUUAAUGAAUAAGCUCCGGCUAACUACGUGCCAGCAGCCGCGGUAAUACGUAGGGAGCAAGCGUUGUCCGGAUUUACUGGGUGUAAAGGGUGCGUAGGCGGCUUUGCAAGUCAGAUGUGAAAUCUAUGGGCUCAACCCAUAGCCUGCAUUUGAAACUGCAGAGCUUGAGUGAAGUAGAGGCAGGCGGAAUUCCCCGUGUAGCGGUGAAAUGCGUAGAGAUGGGGAGGAACACCAGUGGCGAAGGCGGCCUGCUGGGCUUUAACUGACGCUGAGGCACGAAAGCGUGGGUAGCAAACAGGAUUAGAUACCCUGGUAGUCCACGCUGUAAACGAUGAUUACUAGGUGUGGGGGGUCUGACCCCUUCCGUGCCGGAGUUAACACAAUAAGUAAUCCACCUGGGGAGUACGGCCGCAAGGUUGCAACUCAAAUGAAUUGACGG